AGCGACUUCAUGCUCACAAGAGCUCUUGCUUCCCACGUUUGGGGUGAGAUAGCAGCAAGCAGAAGCACCUCACACCCGUGAUUGACCUUUCUCUAUGGCUAGAUGAUGUCUGCUCCGCGGUGCAGAGGAUACAUUGAGAGGACGCAUUGACACGCAUUCAGAUGCGUCAGGGACUGUGGAAAGGUAGCAGCCUCCAGGUGGAGGAUCAAUGGCUAUUCUUCACCUUGAAGUCAUAUUCCUUGAAGCUGUCAGGGAAGAGGUUAUGAUAAUCACAUAUGGACUACUUGCCUAUGAUGUCACCACUGUGUCUGCGGGCUACCUUCUGGUCUAGUACCAAAGGCUACUUUGCCAGGACUCAGGAUCCGCUACUCUCCGCACUAUUCCUUGUCCUGCCCAGUGCCUCCACAAGGGGUGAGUGCAAGGCACAGAGAGUAUCUCCUUGGUGCAUUCUGAGGUUCAAGGCGUGUCCUCUUCUUGGCCAGCGAGGAGCCCGUGUUAGCUCCAUGUGUCCCAGGACCCACUCAGUGAACUCAAACCGCCUGAUGCAAGCAGAUUCAUUUCCAAGAAGCACCCUUGAUGAUGGCAAGAGAUGUUUCUAAGGAUGUAGUGGUAGCUGGUGAAGGAAAAUUCUUUACCAGAUCAUGAUACCAGUAACUGUGACUGUAACAUAAUUUUCUGUUCCAAAAACAACAUUAGCAUAUUUCGGCUGUAGAUUCCAUUAGGCUACUUUACAGUACUGGUCGUCAGUCCUGGCUAUGAAAACAAAACUGCUCAGAAUAUUGCAGAAGUCGGAGGGAGAGCCAAGAUUACCUUACAUCCCAGGCAAACAAUCUCAUCAAAUACCACUGAGAAGAGAGCCCUGAUACAUUUGCAUCUGACAUUGACGGUCACCAGCUCUGGUGCCAAUGAGCUAUGAUCAGUGACCCCUUUUAAAGAUGCCACCCAGAGGAGGAAAAUGCUACUCAGAGUGAAUCUUCGUGGAUAUAAACCAGAUAAAAUUAUCUCAAGCCCAGAUGGCAAUGUUCUUUAACUGAAUACUUUUUAUGAAUUUGUGCAUAUGUAACUCAUUAAAACCUUUUAUAACAGCA